GGUAUUGCUGUUAUCACUAAGUUGAUCAUAAUUUGAUUGGUCUGAUUUUCAACUUGAUUGAUUUGCUUCUCUAUCUUUCUUGUCUCUUUUCUGAGCUCUGACCGAAAGCCGUCACUUAGAUUUUGUGAAUUAUUUUAUGGGAUUUCAGGUGUUGAAUUUGAUCAUCAUCUGAUGGCUCUGUAUUUCAUUUGAUUGGAUUUUUAAGCAGACCGGCAAGUGUGAUAUGCAGCUUGUCAUCUCUCUGCGGACCUGUUGCAACAUAAUUGUUUCAGACUUUUUUAUAGUGUAGCUGCGCAGUUUGGCUGCUCCGAGAAAUGCAGCAUGUCAUUGUAUAUAGCACUGUUAGUCCAUGGUGAUGGUUUUGUUGCAUGUAUGUGUUGGUUGGGCUGAGGAUGUGAAUUAUCGAUCAAAUUUGCCAUCAGCAACGCUGCUGACUUUCUACAGCUAGGGUUUUAUAUGUGCUUAGUAGCCAGCUAGGCAACAUUUGUACGAUGCAGGGAAAAUAUCUCAAGCUGGUCAUCUUUAUCUGUUGAUGCCUGCAACAACUCUUAGCGAUUGCUUCCUUUAUAAGAUUCCGAAGCUCAGUUGGCUUUUCCUGGAACUUUAAAGGGAGGUAGGCACUCUUGAUUUCGGUUUUAUGUCAAACACAAUCUGUCCUGCCCCAGUGAACCACCAUGAUGACCCAUUUAUGUGCCGCAGUGCAGAAAUAUUAAUGCAUAUCAGUUUAUGACAUCAACAAAUCCGAUUGAGGGCUCAUCAAGUCCAUUACAAGUUCAAGAACUAAAAUAACUAAAGUUGUUUUGAGUUUAAUAUUUUUUAUUAUCUA